CUGCAGGUUCGCUGGGGUACUCCCGAGGGGAGCCCGGCCGGCCGCCUGGCCGGCCCCCUCCUUCACGCCGCGCAUCGUGCCGGGGCAGGUGCGCUUGCCAGCCGCGGGAGGAACCCGGGGGACGAGGGCGACCCUUCCCGCGGCUUCUGGCAGAGGCUUCACGCAACGGGCGUGCCCUACGAAGCACUCUUCUCAUCAUGGGGAGGAGGAAUGCCAUCAUACAUUAUUGCACAGAGGCCACAAAUUAGAUAUUAUAGAGUUUGAAGUUGGAAGACAACAAAAUUGAGAUCACCAACAUGGGAAUACAAAAGACAAAUCAAGAAAAGGAUC